rnacentral:sRNA from 1 species
UGGGGUGUGAGGAGCAAGUUUCAAAGAAAAGCGUUUGGGGUGGAAACACGGUAACACUCCCAGACGCUUUUCUAU